CGAGAGCGUCCUCCUCGGAGUGGAAGGGCGGGGCCGGCGCUGCUGGGAGACAGAUGCCACCCGGCCAAAGGUCGACGCUCUGCGAGCGCCUCACCGGCGGCCGCCCCGGUGCUCUCCCCCGACCAGAGGAGGGAGAUUUUCUCCCAUCGACCCCGCGCUAACGCUAAGGUACGUGGCAGCCACCUAGUCAGGCAGCUGGAGUUGCGCAGCGUAGGUCGAUUUACCACGGCAGUGUAGACGUAGCCCUGGUUAGGUCGAGUUUAUAAUGAAUGUGUCUGCACGAGUAACCUCGUUCCGUCGCCCUAAAGGGCUCUUAAAAUCGGCUUCUGUACUCCUCCCCGGCGAGGGGAGUAGCUCUAAAAUUGACCUUCGUGGGUCGAAUCUGGGCUAGUGCGGAUGCAAAUCAACAUUAUUGGCCUCCAGGAGCUAUCCCAGAGUGCACCAGUGUGACCGUGCUGGACUGUGCUUUCAACUCUGAUGCACUAGCCAGGGACAUAGGAAAAGCCCUGGGGAACUUUUGAAUUUCAUUUCCUGUUUGGUCAGCAUGGGGAGCUAGCAACACAGGUGACCAUGCAGUCUCCCCAGAAUCGCAAACGAGCUCCACCCUGGAGCAAAUGAGAGACACUGGAUCUGAUUGCUGUAUGGAGAGAAGAAUAUGUGCAGGCAGAACUCUGAUCAAAAAGAAGUGCUAAUAUAUGUGCCAAAAUUGCACAGGGUAUGAUGGACAGAGGCUACAACAGGGGGACACAGCAGUUCCACGUGAAAGUCAAGGAGCUCAGGCAAGCCUACCAAAAGACAAAGGAGACAAACGGUCACUCCAGGUCAGAGCUCCAUGCAUGCAGUUUCUGUGAUCAGCUGCAUGGCAUUGUAGGGCGGGCCCCUGCCACUACUUCCCCACUGUCCGUGGACACCUGCGAGAGGGGAGUCUCACAUAACGUGGAGGAGGAGGAGAAUGUGCAGCAGGCAAGUAGUGAAUCCACUCUCCCCAGCAGCCAGGACCUUUUCAUCACCCUGGCACCAAUACCCUCCCAAGGCUAGAUCCGUGACCCUGAAGGCGGAGAAGGCGCCUCUGGUAAGCAAGGAUGCGUGCUACAGGACUGAGAUGCAUGCGUGUGGCUAGGAUCCCUAUGCAGCUCACCUCUAUGUUGCUUUGGUCCCUGCACAAGUGAUUGCCAAUUGGCACAGGAAAGUUUCCUACAAUGGGGGAAAGAACAAAGCAGCUCUGCUAAGGAACCUUCAUCAGAGGAUUGCAUAUAACAAAGCAAAGGACAGCUCUACCUCAUAUAACCGAACAGCAUCAACUCAAAAAAAUCACUUACCAG